UACGUAGGGUGCAAGCGUUGUCCGGAAUUAUUGGGCGUAAAGAGCUCGUAGGCGGUUUGUUGCGUCGGCUGUGAAAUCCCGAGGCUCAACCUCGGGUCUGCAGUCGAUACGAGCAAACUAGAGUGUUGCAGGGGAGACUGGAAUUCCUGGUGUAGCGGUGAAAGUGCGCAGAUAUCGAGAGGAACACCUGCGGCGAAGGCGGGGUUGCUGGGGCUGACACUGACGCUGAUGUGCGAAAGCUAGGGGAGCGAACGGG
rnacentral:rRNA from 1 species